GAUGAACGCUAGCGGCAGGCUUAAUACAUGCAAGUCGAGGGGCAGCACGGGGGCAACCCUGGUGGCGACCGGCAAACGGGUGCGGAACACGUACGCAACCUUCCCAUAACUGGUGAAUAGCCUUUCGAAAGAGAGAUUAAUACACCGUAACAUAAUGAAGAGGCAUCUCUUUAUUAUUAUAGACUUCGGUCGGUUUUGGAUGGGCGUGCGCCUGAUUAGGUAGUUGGCGGGGUAACGGCCCACCAAGCCUGCGAUCAGUAACUGGUGUGAGAGCACGACCAGUCACACGGGCACUGAGACACGGGCCCGACUCCUACGGGAGGCAGCAGUAAGGAAUAUUGGUCAAUGGACGCAAGUCU
rnacentral:rRNA from 1 species